UUAGUCUUCCUUUCUGGGGCUAUCUCCCCACUCAGCUUGACUCAAACAUUGGCAGUUUUAUUGCAAUACUUCCAAUGUCACAAGAGUUUAACUAGAACAGUGCAACAGUUGGUCUCAUUCACUUUUCCUUUUUCUGGGGCUAUCUCCUCACUCAGAUUCUUGGAGGUAUCUGGGCAAAUAAAAUUAGUGGGAAACUAGUAUUGGGUUUUGGAGUGAUCUGGUCGUCAGCUACAACAGUUUUGACACCUAUUGCUGCCAGAGUUGGGCUUCCUUUCUUGAUUGUCAUGUGUGCCUUUAUGGGGAUUGGUGAGAUGUUCUGGUUGCACUCAAGAGUACAAUCUCCACCGUCCGAUCAUCCUCGACGAGGCCACCGACUUCUUCAACAAACACGGCGUAUCUGACUUCACCUUCGAUACUUGUAGACUCGUAUGUCCGCCUCCUUGUUUACUUUCUCAAUUGGGUUUUUUCGUAAUUAGGGUUUUGAUAACAUUUUCGCCCUUUAC